rnacentral:misc_RNA from 1 species
UUAGCUAGUAUUUAAUUGCAUCUCCUGGUACCUCCCAAUAGGGCUUCAUUGGCUGCAAACAAGCGCCUCACUUUCUGAAGCCAAUUGCAGUGAAAUUUGAGGGUAUUGUGCAAGGAAUCCAAACUGGCUGAGAAAUGAAGGCUGUUUUUGAGUCCUUCGUGACCUGAAAACAGGGACAGGCGGUAAUGUUUUGUUCUUUUUGCUUACUUAGCACAGAUAGUGUAUUAUAUAUCUCUUUAGGCCGAAAGAUGAACUAACAGCGCUUGUUAGAUAUUUUUGUGCCGUCAUCCAUUUCAUAUGUAAUAUAAAUGAUGAAUAGGACAUUUUUACA